rnacentral:rRNA from 1 species
UGCGUAGACGGUUUCGUAAGUCGGGUGUGAAAUCCCCGGGCUCAACCUGGGAAUUGCAUUCGAGACUGCGAGGCUAGGGUACGGAAGAGGGAAGCGGAAUUUCCGGUGUAGCGGUGAAAUGCGUAGAUAUCGGAAGGAACAUCAGUGGCGAAAGCGGCUUCCUGGUCCAGUACCGACGUUCAGGCACGAAAGCGUGGGGAGGCAAAACA